GCAAACUUGGUCAUUUAGAGGAAGUAAAAGUCGUAACAAGGUAACCGUAGGUGAACCUGCGGUUGGAUCAUUAUUGAAAUCCAAUUUUUUAGAGGGGGUUGCUUUUUGGCAGCACAUGACCUGUGCUUGUCAUUAGGUUUUACCCACUCGACACCCCAAAACCUUUUUAUGCCACUCUUUUUCUCGGAAAAGAGUGUGUCAAUGUUUUUGUGUUGUAUAUGUGUGCUGGUGUGCCUAAGAAACACUCCAACGCUCAUAUAUAUUUCACAAAAACACAACCCUAGACAAACAUUUGUUUUUUAUUGUAACCUUUUUUUUUCUCUCUUGUAACAAGGAGAUGUACAAAAAAGAAACAACUUUUGACAAUGGAUCUCUAGGCUCUCGCAUCGAUGAAGAACGCAGC
rnacentral:misc_RNA from 1 species